UACGUAGGGGGCGAGCAUUGUCCGGAUUUAUUGGGCGUAAAGAGCUCGUAGGCGGUUCGGUAAGUCGGGUGUGAAAUCUCCGGGCUCAACCCGGAGGGGCCACCCGAUACUGCCGUGACUCGAGUCCGGUAGAGGGGUGUGGAAUUCCCGGUGUAGCGGUGAAAUGCGCAGAUAUCGGGAGGAACACCAGUAGCGAAGGCGGCACCCUGGGCCGGUACCGACGCUGAGGCACGAAAGCGUGGGGAGCAAACAGG
rnacentral:misc_RNA from 1 species